GAAGUGGAAGUGGUGCAUGAAGGCUUUUUCGCUGCUGCUAUUAGGAAUAUUUCCAUAUUUUAAUGGCAAGAAGUCUCUGAGAUGAUUUUGGUUUUGUGGUACCUCUGGGGAGGCCCUGGACCAGAUCUUCCUUCAGACUCCAGGUCACCUUUUCCUAACAGCUCUACUUGAAUUCACAAAGGAGCAGUAAGUCUCAGGUUCCUGAGAGAACAAGAGUUGCAACCCAGUGUGACCAUGCCAACUAAUUGAAUCUCACCUCGGAAACUCACAACUCUGGCUCCAGAGAAUCAUGACAGCUCAUGUGAGUAUUGCUCAUCAUCCAAUAAACUGAACGAGCAACUGGAGAAAGCAAAAGAUCAUUUCAACAAAGAGAUAGAGAUUCUCAAAAAAAAAAAAA